rnacentral:misc_RNA from 1 species
AGCGCACGCGCGGUGGCCUUGUACAGCUCCCCACUCGUCGCUUCCAUCUUCACCGGAGCAGUUACACAUUCCUCGAUAUCAGUACCCCAUUUUUAUCCCCCUUUUUCGCGCUUCUCUCUCAUGGACGCUCAAGGCCCGUUCUUAGUAAUUCCGACGAAGCGGGGCGCUGUUCCGACCUUGACGCCGGCGCAGGCGAACGCGAUUCUCGAACCAUCGGAGCGAAUCCUGGCCACCAGCGUCUUUGAGGCGAUGGACUUUGUGAAGCCGUGCAUCGAGGCCGGGAUGCCGUUGAGCACCUACUGCGGUCUGAGGGGGUACAAGACUGUGCUGACGCUGCGCUCGUCUUUCCAGGGCCUGCACGCAAGUGCGUCCUCCACCGACACCACGGUAGCCGGUGAUAACGAGAGAGGCCGGGCCGUGGUUUCCUUUGAGAGAUGGCGUGAUAUAGUCAAGGCGACGCGGCCAACCUUGGCGGUGGCCGUACACGAAUCUCUUCCUCUUUGCGAGCCACUGAACAAGCGGCGACGCGUAGCCACCACUCGCUCCGAAACUUGGCUGGCCAAGACCGAAGAGGCAUCGGACCUGGGGUGCACUAUUCUGCCGUCCAUCUCGGCUGGACGCACACACGAGGGUGGCUACAUUGACGCCGUGCCUCGCGGUGAGAACAGCUACGAGUUUUUCCAAACCCUUCAAGCGCUUCAGCUAUCGCCAAAAAAGUGCACAAUGUGCGUAGCACCCAGCAUUUCUGCGCUCCUUGCCGCCAUGGUGAGCAACGUAUCGCUAUUGGAGUGCCCACUGCCGUGGGCGCUGGCCGAAAAAGGGGUAGCUCUGCUUCUCCCCUUGGAAGAGGCGACGACAACGGCCUCAGAACCUGUCGUACCCCUUCUGGACUUGAACGACAACAUGUAUGCGCUCGACAUCAACCCCAUCGCUGAGGGGUGCGAUUGCUUCACCUGCAGGCGGCACUGUCGCGCUUACGUGCACCAUCUUCUUACUGUGCAGGAAAUGAACAGCGACAUCCUUUUGGUAAUGCAUAAUCUUGCGCAGGUGGUCCGACUCGUCCGGGCCUACAGGUGCGCCGGCACGUCAACGCGUGAGGCUCUUGUGAGCCGUGUUGCCUCCGCACUGUGAUAUCAUGACACUGGCGUGCGUGUGUGUGACGACGUGAGAUGAUAGUCUCGCCAUAUUCUGUGCGCGCUGCGUGCCUGUGUGUGUCGCUGCACUCAACACACGCAACCACAAAGGACCCCUCUGAGGUGAAAGCGGAAGUACGACGGGACAGAGACUUCCCCACAGAAUCCAAAGAGAGCGGGUCGGGGCUUCGGCAACGUCCCUGCCGCUUUUCACAGCCACCGUCAUUGCUGUACACGUUAGCUCACUGGUAAUGAGGUGACGGAAAGGUCAGCCACGUUUCCCGUCUCUGCGUUACUGCUUGCGCGCUUCGGUGAAUGUGAGAAAGCCAUUGUGAACAAAAAACGAAUACGCUGUUCUUUAUUUCCUCUGUCUUCCGCUUUGAAUCGGUCGCCUGAUUGCAAUGGACGUUGUGCCUGCCUCUGUGACCCCGUUUCAUGCCAUCCUUAUCUCGACAAG